rnacentral:tRNA from 1 species
GGCAGGGUAGCUCAACCGGUUAGAGCACGGCAUUCAUAACGCCGAGGUUGGGAGUUCGAGUCUCCCCCCUGUCA